rnacentral:RNase_P_RNA from 1 species
UGAGAAGGUCAGAUGAUCGCCCGUCCGGCACAUCCGGGCGGGAGGAAAGUCCGAGCUCCGCAGGGCAGGAUGGUCGCUAACGGCGACUGGGGGCGACCCUAAGGAAAGUGCCACAGAAAAUAUACCGCCCGCUUCACGGAGCAUGACUCCGGGCGGGUAAGGGUGAAAAGGCGAGGUAAGAGCUCACCGCUCCUCUGGUGACAGGGGAGGCACGGUAAACCCCAUCCGGAGCAAGACCGAAUAGGAGAACGAUCGAGGACGGCCCGUCCGAUGUUCUCGGGUAGGUUGCUUGAGGCGGCGGGCAACCGCCGUCCCAGAGGAAUGAUCAUCGCCGGUCCCGGGGCGACCCUGGGCCGGAACAGAACUCGGCUUACGACCUCCUCGGACA